rnacentral:sRNA from 1 species
GCUGGGCCUGGUGAUGCUCGCCUGUAAUCCCAGUGGCUUGGAAGCCUGAGGUAGGAGGAUCAUGAGUUUAAAACCAGCCUUAGCAACUUAGUGAGGCUCUAAGCAACUUAGCAAUACCCUGUCUUUA